rfam:Cavia porcellus supercont2_295 genomic scaffold, whole genome shotgun sequence.
GACCUGCUAGCUCAGUCGGUAGAGUGUGAGACCCAUAAUCUCAGGCUCGUGGGUUCAAGCCUCACCUUGUGUCA